AUUCAGCUGACGAGUCCCAAAUAGAACAAAACGCGCGUCCUGGAU
rfam:Schistosoma mansoni strain Puerto Rico chromosome 1, complete genome